GAUGAAGAUGACGAUGAAGAGACCACAUCUGCUGUGACAGACGUGGACAAUACUGGUAGAUCCACUGAGUACAUACCUGGGGAUUUACCAACAGACGAGGGUCCUUCAACCUCAGUGCACGAUUUAAGAAGUUUGCCAGCACUGUAUAAGGUCCAUCUUCAAAAACAAAUAAGAAAAAGUGACAUGGAGAUGGACCUCAUACAGCUUCAAAUGGAGAAAAAAGGCUGUCUAUUAAAAAAAAUCUACUCUAGAAAUUAAAUUACUGGAGCAUCGCCUUAAGG